rnacentral:rRNA from 1 species
GAUGAACGCUGGCGGCGUGCCUAAUACAUGCAAGUCGAGCGAACGGACGAGAAGCUUGCUUCUCUGAUGUUAGCGGCGGACGGGUGAGUAACACGUGGAUAACCUACCUAUAAGACUGGGAUAACUUCGGGAAACCGUAGCUAAUACCGGCUAAUAUUUUGAACCGCAUGAUUCAAAGGAGAAUGCGGGCUUGCUCGCUCCUAUUAGUCGAUGCUGCAUUAGCUAGUUGGCUAGGUAAGGGCUCACCAAGGCAACGAUGCGUAGCCGACCUGAGAGGGUGAUCGGCCACACUGGAACUGAGACACGGUCCAGACUCCUACGGGAGGCAGCAGUAGGGAAUCUUCCGCAAAGGGCGAAAGCCUGACGGAGCAACGCCGCGUGAGUGAUGAAGGUCUUCGGAUCGUAAAACUCUGUUAUUAGGGAAGAACAUAUGUGUAAGUAACUGUGCACAUCUUGACGGUACCUAAUCAGAAAGCCACGGCUAACUACGUG